UACGAAGGGGGCUAGCGUUGUUCGGAAUCACUGGGCGUAAAGGGCGCGUAGGCGGCUUUAUAAGUCGGGGGUGAAAGCCUGUGGCUCAACCACAGAAUUGCCUUCGAUACUGUAGAGCUUGAGACCGGAAGAGGUAAGUGGAACUGCGAGUGUAGAGGUGAAAUUCGUAAAUAUUCGCAAGAACACCAGUGGCGAAGGCGGCUUACUGGUCCGGUUCUGACGCUGAGGCGCGAAAGCGUGGGGAGCAAACAGG
rnacentral:rRNA from 1 species